AUGGCUUUUGUCACCCUCGGGUGUCGGCCAACACGUGUUUAUCCUAGUAUUCGGGGAAUAUCAGGAUCAGAGCGUGUCAAGAUAGAUCCCAAUGCUGAAACUUGGGUGAUAGCUUAUGUAGUUAUCAAGAUGGAGAACAAAGAUUCCUGGAUUUGGUUCUUGGAGAUUCUGGUUGAGGAUAUUGGGAUUAUAAAUCAACAUGGUUGGAUAUUCAUUAGUGAUAAGCAGAAGGGUUUAAUUCUUGCAUUCUUGGUGGUUUUUCCUGAUUGUCACCAUAGGUUUUGUGUGCGGCAUUUGUACAUAAAUUAUAGAGAACAGUUUAAGGGUAAGGCAUUGAAGGAUGAUUUAUGGGUUGUUGCCAAGACCACUACAAUUCCAUACUUUAGAAGAGCCAUGGAAGAGCUUAGAUUGUUGAACGAAGAUGCAUAUGAUUGGCUCAUGAAGAUACCUGUCAUUAACUGGAGUUGGUCUAAUUUUCAAAUGCAUACCAAGUGUUAAAUGUUGCUGAACAACUUGUGUGAAAGUUUCAAUACCGUGAUCGUGAUGGCAAGGUCCAAGCCAAUUGUAACCAUGCUUCAGAUCAUUCAUAUCAUGUUGAUGAAAAUGAUUCAAAUCAAAUGAGAAGAGAUAGUAUGAUGAGACAACCUGAAGAUUUGUGCCCUAAGAUUAAGAAGAAGUUGGAGGAUGAAAAAAUGGAUAAUGGUCGAUUUAUUGCUCAAUGGUCUGGUGGGACUAAAUUCCAAGUGGAAGCUGAAGGAGGUGACCAAUAUGUUGUUGACUUGACUGAAUAUACAUGUUCAUGUCGAAGAUAUGACCUCACCGGUAUUCCAUGCAACCAUGCCAUUGCUACCAUUAAUUAUAAGAGGGAGAAGCCAGAAAACUAUAUGGAUGUUUGUUAUUCCAAGGUCAUGUACUUGGAAAUAUAUGGACACUUAAUUUAGCCAAUGAAUGGAAUGUCAAUGUAGGAGAUCACUGAAAAUCCACCUAUCCAGCCUCUUCUAUAUACUAGACAACCUGGAAGACCCAAGAAGAAGAGAAACAACGAGGCUAUAGAAAUGGAGAAACAAGCAAAUCCUAGACAAAGUGAAGCCACUAACAGAAGUGGAGAUAUUCCACAACCACAAUAGCUCUCAAGGAAAAACCUUUAAUCUUGUAUCUUCCUCUUGUCUUGUCUUGUAUAGAGAUAUUCCACAGCCACUAACAGAAGUGGAGAUAUUUCACCUCUUGUCUUGUAUCUUCCUACAAGACAAGAGGUGAAAUAUAACCUUUUACAAAGUUAUAUGAUUUCUAAGUUGAUUUAAGACUUUAUUACUCCAAAAAUCCUUUAAUUUGUUUUAGGCAUCAAGUUCUGCACAUGGAGCAUAUAGUAAUCCAGGUGGUGUACCAAGGAAAAGGGGAACGAAAUCCAAGAUAAGUAUUGUUUCACUUGUUUUAUUAAUGAACUUGUGGCCUGUAUUGUGAUAACUUAGGGAUUCUUUUGUAUUCAUUAGAUGUGGAUAUUCUUUUGUGAUAACUUGUGGCCUAUAUUGUUGUUGAUUUGGAUAUUAUUGUACUAAACAUUGGAUGUAGGCAUCAAGCACAGUUGGAGGAGGUAAUUCAGAGGUUCAAACAGAUGGAAGAGUGAAGAAGAGAAAGACAAGGCAUCAAGCAUAGUUGGAUGAGGUAAUUUAGAGGUUCAAACAAAUUGAGGAGUGAAGAAGAGAAAGACAAGGCAACCAAGAAAGUGAAAAGCGUUGCCAUACAAGAACAAAUUGGCUUUUUUGAUGUUGGAAUUUUUGCUAGUGGCUUGAAUUUUUUGUGAAUGUUGGCAACAGCUAGGAACUAUUUUUUUGCUUAGUUAGGAACUGUUAUUUUGCUCCCAAUUGGAUUUGUAGCUUAUUAGGAACUGUUAUUUUGAUAGUGGUUGGAUAUCCUUUUGGGAACAUGCUAGCUUGUUAGGUUAGGAAUUGUUAUUUCCAGUUGAACUCCUAGAUGUUAGCUUUAGUUGCCAAUAUAUGGAGCAUGCUUGUUAUUUUCAAUUGAACUCUUGUGAAAUAUAUUGCUAAUUUAGUUGCC